rnacentral:misc_RNA from 1 species
GUGAAUCAUCGAAUUUUUGAACGCAAAUUGCACUUUCUGGUAUUCCGGAAAGUAUGCCUGUUUGAGGGUCAGUUAAAUAAAUAUCGGUGUUGUUUCUUCUUUUCUUGUUGACUCUUCGGAAUUGAUUUGUCUUACCUUCGGUUAAGUGACUUAAAAUUUUACAUUGUUUUCGAUCGUAUUUGAAUUUCUUACGUACGUUUGGUAUAUCGAAUACUUUAUGAGGUUCGCUCAUACUCAUGA